rnacentral:lncRNA from 1 species
CCGGGCUCUUCCUGACCUUCAGCACCGCCAGACCAUCCUCCCCAGUUCUGCUGGCCUGUUUUAUAAACCUCAUGGCCUUCCCCAUCCCUGCUGCUGCCCCUCGGCCACCAGCCACCGCAGCCGGCUUUCUGCCUCGCAGUGGCUCUUCCCUUUGCUCCUUUCAUUCCAGCUCCAUUGAGGAGUCGUCUCUGCAGCAUGUGCUGGGAUCCCCCGCUCGCCCCUCCAGUCUGUGCUCCACUGACUCCGUCCAUCUGAACGGCAAGUCUUGCCACUUCACUCUCCCACGAGCUAGUUAAGGGUGAGUGUCCUGCUCAUUAGUGUGGCUAGUAGUGUCCUGCCCAGUCGGGCACUGUCCAGGCUUAUCUCUUGUCUCCUCCAUUUCAGCACCAGCCCCUUGAACACUCAGCUGUCCUUCCACCUGUUCUGGGCUCCGAGCAGAGCAUGUCCUCUUACCCAGCCUCAGUAGACCCCACCCAAAAGCCUUGCUUAAUCCUACAGAUAUGGACUCAGUCUCCUAAUCUCUCCUUCUCUGUGCUCUUGUGCUGCCAUCUCUGCACUCAACCAUGCUUUAUCCUCAACGUUUCUUUAAAUACCGUGAGUGCAGGGAGACCACAGCCGUGCUCAGGGUUAGGGUUUUGCUCUGAUUGCAUUCCCAAGUCACUAGCACUGUCUGGCACGUAGUAGGUGGUCAGCUAAUCUUGAUUGUGUCAAUUGAUAAAUGAAAGUGCAUAAUAGCUAUAUUGGCUAAUAAUGUGCCUUCUGUUUAACUGUCUUUUUCAUGGCUGCGUAUGAGUACUUACUUAAGCUGAGUGCUUUUUCUCUGUCUAAAUUUUAUAUAUGACAUAUGACAUCAUAUUUUUCUAUUAUACAGUUUAUAAUUAUAUUGUACUUUUAUAUUUUGCAUUGUAAUUCUGUAGUAACAGGAAAGGAAGUUUUAAGCAGAAACAUUUUUUAUCCAAAAUCUCUCCGAUGUGCCCCUUGCUGUUGUCCGUGCCCUCUUUGCAUUCUUUGUUCAUAUUUUUGCUUGUUCUUACAUAGCUGGAUAAUCAUUGAUGUUCUCUUUGUUUACUUCCUACUUUAGUGCAAACCUUUUCCUCAUACAGCACAUUUUUGAAGACAGUGAACAAGUUAGACCUUAGCUUUCUCUGCUUCAACUUAAAUACACUUGAAUCCUUUAACAUUCUCAAGGGUCUGAGUUUUCAUUAACUUAAUCAUGGUAGCUGCUUGUCUCUGGAUGCCUUCUAGACCCCAAACACUCCUCAAAAUGCAGAAACCAAAGCUUCACCCCGGUGCGUGCUGCUCCCUUGUUUUCCAUCUUUGCAGAAUACCCUGGAUUGUGUGACUGUCAUUUCAUUGCAAUGUUGGCCUAUUUUAAGAAAAUAGGGUAUUUGAAAAUCCAAAUACACAAUACAGAUUAGUUAGAGAGAAAUUAUUGUUCACAAAGAGUUUUUUUUGUUUUUGAAAGGGUUUACUGUAAUAUAUCUUUAAAUAGCUAAAUUUCUGAUAUACAUAAGAAGGUUUGAUUGAGAACAAUUUAAUUUAUGUCUGACAUUGGGGAACAAAGCUGCUCUGUGAAGUGAGGUGAUUUAUUCUAGCUACAGGCAAGUGUCCAGCUUUCCUCCAAUGCCCAAGCAUCCUGCAUUUCUCAUCUCUGAGUUAAGUCCAGUUGUUGUAACCAUUGAUGACCUUAGUUCAGACCAACCAUGGAACAAAGUUUAGUUCCUGAUGCAGGGCUUGGCUGGCUUUAGGUCGUUGCUCAUUAGACACAAAAAUAAUUGCUUCUGAAAUUUUCAUUUAGCAUCAGGGAAAGUUACCAGACUCCCUUAGACUCUCAUAUGGCUAUUUAAUGAUCUGAACUGCAAGGUCUGUUGUAUUUGUUAUAGCUCUAUUGGCUAAUAAUGUGCCUUCUAUUUUUUCUGUGUGCAAAUGGAUAUUUAUUAUAAAUUGUCCCCUCUUUUCACCUUUGUUUUAAUUGCAGUGCUUAGAUGGCAAUAGGCAUUUCACAUGGAAACAUUACUAUGGCUUUGGUUAAUGAAUAUUAGAAUACUAUUUCAUAAGAAAUACAGCUUCUAGAAUUUUUGAAGACUGAAACUAACUUGCAACAGGGGGAAAUAAAUUAUAGACUCUGGAUAGUUUAUUUUUGUGAAUUUGAUUUGAAAGAUAGUGAAAACACAACUCACAGACUGAGAAAAGAUUCACAUCUUACACCUGAUAAGGAUCUAGCAUCCAGAAUCUAUGAAGAAUCCCUAAAACACAUCUAUAAAAGAAGAACACAAUUAAAUAGUAGGCUUGAAAGGCUGUUUCUCAUAGGAUAACAUGAGAAAAUGGCCAGGAAGCUCAAGGAUAGAUGCUGUCUCACAAGUCAUUAGAGAAAAGAUACCAACACCACAGAGAGGUGCCACUCCACAGCCAAUAGGAUGGUCACAGUAACACUGACAACAGUUACAACAUCAGAUAGUGACAAGUGGUGGUGAGGAUGUGGAGAAACUGGAACUCUCAACACAUCCCUGCAGGAAUGCAAAGUAUCUCAGUCACUGUGGAGAAGUUUGGUCGUCCCUCAAAAAGAUAAAUAUAGAAUUACCUUAUGACUUCUCAAUUUCUUUCCCAAAUCUUUAAGAGAUUUGAAAUCAUGUUCACACAAACUUUGCACACUCCUCUUUAAUGCAGCAUUAUUCAUAAUAGUAAAAAAGUGCAAACAACCCAAAUGACCAUCAUCUGAUGGAUGGAUGAAAACAAUGUGGUAUAUUUAUAUGAUGGGAUAUUAUUCAGCCCUAAAAAGGAGUGGAGUACUGAUACAUGCUACAUAUAGAUGAACCCUGAAGACACUAAGCUGCAUGAGCAAAGCUAAUAACAAUGACUGCAUCUCAUGUUAUUCCAUUUCUAUGAUAUGCACAGACCAGGUAAAUCCAUAAGGACCUCAAGCAGAUUAGUAGUUAUCUGUGAAUGGUAGGAAAGGGGCAUUUGAACUGACUGCACACAGGUAUGGAGCUUGUCCUUGGAGAUGUGGAUUUAGAUAGCGGUAAUCCCACAGCAUAGUGAGUGAACCAAACCACCAAACUAUACUCUUUAAAAUGAUGAGUUUUACCUUAUGUCUCAACUCUAU